GGAGGACGCCGGAGUCAACAAGACUUGGGGGACGCCCCCAUCCGGCUCCGCCCCACACAGGGAUCGCUCCGCCCGCACACCCAAACAACGCGAGGUCUUGAGGAUACCUGGGGACGGACCCUGUUGGGAGAGAUCCCGCGAGAACAGGGCCUCAACCUCCCCGCCCCCUUCCCCGCUUUAGGACGCUGAGGGACAGAAUAGCUGCUGAGAGGCGGUCACCGGUGGCGGAGAUGGAUUUGAGGGUGGAGGUCUCACCCCGAGGAGGCCGUUCUGUUCCGCGGUGAUUUGGAACAGGCCGUCUAGGUGUCGGAGCAUCUUCGAGGGUGCUUCCCCGCGGGGAACUACCUAGCCAGAAUGCCAAGUGGAUCAGUAGACUCCAAUAUUUUCCCAGCCUUUCCAAGCUAUUUUAUAUUUUCUGAAAUUUCCAAAUGUGUUUUAAAAAGCUGUAAUAAAGCUUAUAUAAAGUUAUAAUGAGAAUCUUAAAAAAAAAAAAAAAACUGGAACAUUAAAGAAUAUAACUCCUAUGAGACCAAACAAAAAAUGUAAAUAUACAUGCCUUGUCAUGUCCAACCACCUCCCUCCACCAAAAGUAUUCAAAGCAAAAUACUGAAAAGCAGAAAAGUUGCUCAAAUUCACUAAAUUCACUAAACAUUAAAAUACUAAAAAUAAAACUGUACUUUCCCAAAGUCAUUUGAUCCUGUUCUUCAAGUGGAUACUUGAGGAAUUCCUGCCCUAUUUAAUAUCAAAAAUGAAACCUCAUGGGCGCCUGGGUGGCUUAGUCGUUAAGCGUCUGCCUCUGGCUCAGGUCAUGAUCCCAGGGUCCUGGGAUCAAGCCCCGCAUCGGGCUCCCUGCUCCACGGGAAGCCUGUUUCUCCCUCUCCCACACUCCCCUGCUUGUGUUCCCUCUCUCGCUGUGUGUCUCUCUGUCAAAUAAAUAAAUAAAAUCUUUAAAAAAAAAAAUGAAACCUCUUUGUUCAGACUAUAUCCAAUAGAAAGCUUUGCAGAAGCUUUCUAAUUUGAUAUAGUCCCACUAGUUUAUUUUUCCUUUUGUUGUUUGUGCUUUUGAUCUCAGAUUCAAAUAUCACUGCUAAGACCUCUGUCAAGAAGGUUACCACCUAUAUUUCUUUCUAGAGGUUUUAUGGUGUCAUGUCUUAUGUUCAAGUCUAAUUCAUUUGAGUUCAUUUUUGUGUAUGAUGGGAGAUAAUGGUUCAAUUUCAUCUAAUGUAUGUGGCUGCCCAUUUUGCCAACACCAUUUAUUGAAGAUAUUGUCCUUUCCCCAUUGUAUAUUCUUUCUUUUUUUAUCAUAAAUUAAUUGACCAUGUAUGGGUAAGGUUUUUUCUGGGCUCUCUAUUCUGUUCUGUUGAUCUAUGUAUCAGUUGUUAUGCUAAUACCAUACUUUUUUAAUUACUAUAGCUUUGUAAUAUAGUUUGAAGUCUGGGAGUGUGAGGCCUCCAGUUUGUUCUUUAUCAAAUUUGCCUUAGCUAUUUGGGAUCUUUUAUGGUUCUACACAAAUUUUAGGAUUGUUUGUUCUAUUUCUAUGAAAAAUGCUAUUGGAAUUUUGAUAGGGAUUGCAUUGAAUUCAUAUAUUGCUUUGGGUAGUACGGGCAUUUUAACAAUAUUCUUUGAAUCCAUGAGCAUGGAAUAUCUUUCCAUUUAUUUGUAUCUUUUCAAUUUAUUUCAUUAAUGUCACAUAGUUUUCAAUAUACAGAUCUUUUGCCUCCUUGGUUAAAUUUAUUCCUAGGUAUUUUAUUCUUCUUGAUGCAAUUGUAAAUGGAUUUUUUCUUAAUUUCCCUUUUCAAUAGUUCAAUAUCAGAAUAGUUCAUUAACAGAAUUUGGUGUUUAACACUCUGUAUUUUGCAACUUGACUGAAUUAAUUUAUUCUAAUUUAUUCUAAUUUAUUCUAAUAUUUUUUGAUGGAGUCCUUAGCAUUUUCUGUAAAUAAUAUGUCAUUUGCAAAUAGUGACAGCAUUUCUUCUUCUUUGCCAUUUUGAAAGCCUUUUAUUUCUUUUUCUUGGCUAAUAGCUCUGACUAGGACGUCCAGUACUGUGCUGAAUAAAGCAGCAAGAGUAAGCAUCCUGUUUUGUUCCUGAACUUAGAGGAAAAGCUCUCAACUUUUCAUUAUUGAGUAUGGUAUUACUUGUGGGCUUGUCAUAAAUGGUGUUUAUUAUGUUCAGGUACAUUCCCUUAUACCUGCUUUGUUGAGAGUCUUUAUCAUAAAUGGACAUUGAAUUUUGUCAAAUGCUUUUUCUGCAUCUAUUCAGAUCAUAUGAUUUUUUUUAUCCUUCAUUUUGUUAAUGUGGUAUAUCACAUUGACUGAUUUGUGGAUGUUUAUCCAUCCUUGCAUCCCUGGAAUACAUCUACUUGAUCAUGGUGUAUGAUUCUUUUAACAUAUCGUUGGAUUCAAUUUGCUAAUAUUUUGUAGAAGAUUUUAUAUCUGUGUUCAUCAAGAAUAUUGGCCUGUAAUUUUCUUUUGUUAUGGUAUCCUUGUUUGGUUUUGGUAUCAGGGUAA